rnacentral:snRNA from 1 species
GUCAUCGCGCUUGGUUGA